GGAAAGGCGAAAAGAACCCCGGCGAGGGGAGUGAAAAAGAACCUGAAACCGUGUACGUACAAGCAGUGGGAGCACAGAGCAAUCUGUGUGACUGCGUACCUUUUGUAUAAUGGGUCAGCGACUUAUAUUCUGUAGCAAGGUUAACCGAAUAGGGGAGCCGAAGGGAAACCGAGUCUUAACUGGGCGUUAAGUUGCAGGGUAUAGACCCGAAACCCGGUGAUCUAGCCAUGGGCAGGUUGAAGGUUGGGUAACACUAACUGGAGGACCGAACCGACUAAUGUUGAAAAAUUAGCGGAUGACUUGUGGCUGGGGGUGAAAGGCCAAUCAAACCGGGAGAUAGCUGGUUCUCCCCGAAAGCUAUUUAGGUAGCGCCUCGUGAAUUCAUCUCCGGGGGUAGAGCACUGUUUCGGCAAGGGGGUCAUCCCGACUUACCAACCCGAUGCAAACUGCGAAUACCGGAGAAUGUUAUCACGGGAGACACACGGCGGGUGCUAACGUCCGUCGUGAAGAGGGAAACAACCCAGACCGCCAGCUAAGGUCCCAAAGUCAUGGUUAAGUGGGAAACGAUGUGGGAAGGCCCAGACAGCCAGGAUGUUGGCUUAGAAGCAGCCAUCAUUUAAAGAAAGCGUAAUAGCUCACUGGUCGAGUCGGCCUGCGCGGAAGAUGUAACGGGGCUAAACCAUGCAC
rnacentral:rRNA from 1 species